GCCGAGAUUGCCAACGUGGUCAAGGCGCAUGUCUGAAGAACAUGUUACCCAGGUUCGAUUCCUGGUCUCGGCACAA
rnacentral:tRNA from 1 species